rnacentral:rRNA from 1 species
UACGGAGGGGGGCUAGCGUUGUUCGGAAUUACUGGGCGUAAAGCGCACGUAGGCGGCUUUGUAAGUUAGAGGUGAAAGCCCGGGGCUCAACCCCGGAAUUGCCUUUAAGACUGCAUCGCUUGAAUCCAGGAGAGGUGAGUGGAAUUCCGAGUGUAGAGGUGAAAUUCGUAGAUAUUCGCAAGAACACCAGUGGCGAAGGCGGCUCACUGGCCCGGUACUGACGCUGAGGUGCGAAAGCGUGGGGGAGCAAACAGG